UACGUAGGUGGCAAGCGUUAUCCGGAAUUAUUGGGCGUAAAGAGCGCGCAGGUUGUUUGAUAAGUCAGUGGUGAAAGUCUGUCGCUUAACGGUAGGAUUGCCAUUGAUACUGUUGGACUUGAAUAUGGAUGAGGUAGGCGGAAUGUGUAGUGUAGCGGUGAAAUGCAUAGAUAUUACACAGAACACCGAUUGCGAAGGCAGCUUACUAAUCCAUCAUUGACGCUGAGGCACGAAAGCGUGGGGAUCAAA
rnacentral:rRNA from 1 species